rnacentral:rRNA from 1 species
AACGAACGCUGGCGGCAUGCCUAACACAUGCAAGUCGAACGAGGCCCUUCGGGGUUUAGUGGCGCACGGGUGCGUAACGCGUGGGAAUCUGCCCUUUGGUUCGGAAUAACAGCUGGAAACGGCUGCUAAUACCGGAUGAUGACGAAAGUCCAAAGAUUUAUCGCCAGAGGAUGAGCCCGCGUUGGAUUAGGUAGUUGGUGGGGUAAAGGCCUACCAAGCCGACGAUCCAUAGCUGGUCUGAGAGGAUGAUCAGCCACACUGGGACUGAGACACGGCCUAGACUCCUACGGGAGGCAGCAGUGGGGAAUAUUGGACAAUGGGCGCAAGCCUGAUCCAGCAAUGCCGCGUGAGUGAUGAAGGCCCUAGGGUUGUAAAGCUCUUUUACCCGGGAAGAUAAUGACUGUACCGGGAGAAUAAGCCCCGGCUAACUCCGUG